rnacentral:rRNA from 1 species
CUCCUGGAAACGGGUGGUAAUGCCGGAUGCUCCGCCCCCUCGCAUGGGGGGUCGGGAAGGCUUUUGCGGAAUGGGAUGGGGUCGCGUCCUAUCAGCUUGUUGGCGGGGCGACGGCCCACCAAGGCUUCGACGGGUAGCCGGCCUGAGAGGGCGACCGGCCACAUUGGGACCGAGAUACGGCCCAGACUCCUACGGGAGGCAGCAGUGGGGAAUAUUGCACAAUGGGGGGAACCCUGAUGCAGCGACGCCGCGUGCGGGAUGGAGGCCUCCGGGUCGUGAACCGCUUUUGAUUGGGAGCAAGCGUGAGUGAGUGUACCUUUCGAAUAAGCACCGGCUAACUACGUGCCAGCAGCCGCGGUAAUACGUAGGGUGCAAGCGUUGUCCGGAAUCAUUGGGCGUAAAGGGCUCGUAGGCGGUUCGUCGCGUCCGGUGUGAAAGCCCAUCGCUUAACGGUGGGUCUGCGCCGGGUACGGGCGGGCUUGAGUGCGGCAGGGGAGGCUGGAAUUCCCGGUGUAACGGUGGAAUGUGUAGAUAUCGGGAAGAACACC